CCAAAAAAAUCAUCUUUAACGUUUCUUCCCCAUUUUAGUUUAGGGUUUGUCAGAGUUAUUAUACAAUCUGAAAAUUUCCCAAUUGGUUCUUCUGCUUCGAUCUGAUGGUUGUCGAAGGAUAUUGGAAUAUUGGAUAUAUAUUAUCGGCGACAUCAUGUUUCAUAUUCUCUGUUCACCUACCACAUCCUUUCAAGAAUGAAGGAUGGUGGUUGCUCACAAGGUGUUUGAUGUUAUGUCUCAAAGAAAUGAGUGUAUUCAAAAAUAACGUUUUAACAGGGACAUCACCACAACAAUCCAGAGCUUUGUAUUUCGCUCAAAACUGCCAUUCUUGAUUCGUAUUUGCCUGAGGAAGUUGUACCAGUAGGUUGUAAAUGAGUUUAUUUAUGAAUGUAAUUUUGUUUUGAUAA